rnacentral:lncRNA from 1 species
CACGUGCUUACCUGAAUAUACAUGCUUCUUUGUUGAUUGUGUACAAAUGGAUGACAAUUGUUAAACUUAGGCUUCAAAACACAACCGUUAAUUAGCUACAUGUACCAUAUUUUUACAACAACACUGACCGAAUGAAAUGUUUUUUUACUAUUGUAUGAAAUUAAUGCGAAAAAAUGAUAAAACCACACACAAAAGACUAAGUUUAUGAUAUAUGUUAUAAUGUAUGCAUUGGAUCAAGAAUUGGAUUAACAUUAUUUUUCACUGGUAACUGGUUUCAUAUGACUUUAAGAAUCCAGUCCUUAGCAAGGAAGUAGAAGAAGAUCAUGAUCAUUAUCAAAAUAUUAUAAUACUGAGAUAAAAAUUAUAGGAGAUGUGGAAAGCAAUAACAGACAACCCUUCAAGCUCAAACAUGUCAAAGUGAAUAAAAACUUACUUUUUGUUAUAGAUAUAUAGGAAAAUGUGGUGUGAGUGCCAAUGAGACAAGUCUCCAUCCAAAUAACAAUUUUAUAAAAGUAAACCGUUAUAGGUCAAUGUACGGCCUUCAACACGGAGCCUCGACUCACACCGAACAACAAGCUUUAAAGGACUCCAGAAUUACUAAUGUAAAACCAUUCAAACGGGAAAACCAACGGUCUAAUCUAUAUAAAAUAAAAAAAACGAGAAACCAGAAACACGUAUAAAUUACAUAAACAAACGACAACUACUGUACAUCAGAUUCCUGACUUAGGACAUGUGCCAACAUUUGCAGCGG